GUUUUGUGUUAUGCCUUAGCAAUUAAACCGUUCUUAUCUCAAUCCGUGGGGGCUACAUUCUUUGGAUUCUCCUUCCUAACUGUCCGGGAGUUGGGGGACUUGGUUUAAACCACGACAUUUUUUGGUGCCCAACGUGGGGCCCGAGGGUUUGAGAUAAGAACAGAUCUGAGCUGAUUUAUGGUCUCUUGUCACAAUGCUGAUUUAUUGGCUCUUAGAGGUUUUUCUCUGGAUCUCGCUGUUUCGGGAUUUUGCCGGGUACUUUGUGUAUGGAUUGGAUGUGUUUGUGUCGGAGGCUUGUAAUACGGUGGGGCUCCGGCGGCAGGGGGGGAUGGACGUGGCCGUGGACUUGGACUUGUACCAGGCCGUCCCGCUGCUCUUCGCUGUCCUUGUCCUUAUCCUCGUCGUCGUCUGUGUGGAGCUGCGUGAAGCCAGGAAGGAGCGGCCCCGGGAGCUGCCAGCAGCUGAGGCUGCCAGGGAGAGCGGCACGGGGAGCCAAACGGCUGUGGCAGAGCAGCGGGAGCAGGCGGGGGAGGAGCGGAGCAGGGCGGUAGCUGAGCAGCAGGAUCAGGCAGUGGAGGAACCGAGUCCUGCCGCCAUUCUGAACCCCGCAGCGGCCGAGAAUAUUCCCCGGAAGUCACCCGCCGAGCCCCAGCAGGAUGCAGGAGACCACGCAGCAUUUCCCAGCAAGGCAGAGAAGGAAGAUCCGGACACAGGAGAAGAGAAGCUGAUAGUGGGAGAGCUGGCAAGCACGGCAGCUACAUCAGCUCCAGUGACAAGUGCAGCAGCAUCAUCUGAGAGUUCUGAUGGUUUUGAAUGGCUUUUGGGUGCCCUUGGGACCUGCCUGCUGAUAGUGAUAGGGAUCAGCCUUUUGGCACACACACAGAGUGUGUUCUAUCCACAAUCAUUUUGUCUGAUCCCAAAAGUUAAGCAGAGUCAGGUUUGGGUCUUGUCUAGGGUUAGACAAGGAUAUAGGAGCACCGAGAGACUGUCCCCAAGGCUGGACAGUCAUGAGUGGCAGGGCAUGUGGGACAGUAUGGCCAGGUAUCUGAUCCACUGGGCCCCUCAGUGCUUGGAAGCAUUGGAGG
rnacentral:lncRNA from 14 species